GGCGAACGCUGGCGGCGUGCUUAACACAUGCAAGUCGAACGGAAAGGCCCUGCUUUUGUGGGGUGCUCGAGUGGCGAACGGGUGAGUAACACGUGAGUAACCUGCCCUUGACUUUGGGAUAACUUCAGGAAACUGGGGCUAAUACCGGAUAGGAGCUCCUGCUGCAUGGUGGGGGUUGGAAAGUUUCGGCGGUUGGGGAUGGACUCGCGGCUUAUCAGCUUGUUGGUGGGGUAGUGGCUUACCAAGGCUUUGACGGGUAGCCGGCCUGAGAGGGUGACCGGCCACAUUGGGACUGAGAUACGGCCCAGACUCCUACGGGAGGCAGCAGUGGGGAAUAUUGCACAAUGGGCGGAAGCCUGAUGCAGCAGCGCCGCGUGCGGGAUGACGGCCUUCGGGUUGUAAACCGCUUUCGCCUGUGACGAAGCGUGAGUGACGGUAAUGGGUAAAGAAGCACCGGCUAACUACGUG
rnacentral:rRNA from 1 species